rnacentral:misc_RNA from 1 species
CAGGGUCUGACGACGCCCAAACCAACCGUGAACAACUCCCUAAUUCUUGCUUCGGCGGAUCGCUCGCUGGGGGAGCCUGGGCCGCCGCGUAGGCGGUGGUCCGCCGGAGCAACAAGACUCAAUUCUUGAAAAUAAUCUUCUGAGAAAAACUUUCUAAACGAAAAUCA